GACGAACGCUGGCGGCGUGCUUAACACAUGCAAGUCGAACGGAAAGGCCCUGCUUUUGUGGGGUGCUCGAGUGGCGAACGGGUGAGUAACACGUGAGUAACCUGCCCUUGACUUUGGGAUAACUUCAGGAAACUGGGGCUAAUACCGGAUAGGAGCUCCUGCUGCAUGGUGGGGGUUGGAAAGUUUCGGCGGUUGGGGAUGGACUCGCGGCUUGUCAGCCUGUUGGUGGGGUAGUGGCUUACCAAGGCUUUGGCGGGUAGCCGGCCUGAGAGGGUGACCGGCCACAUUGGGACUGAGAUGCGGCCCAGACUCCUACGGGAGGCAGCAGUGGGGAAUAUUGCACAAUGGGCGGAAGCCUGAUGCAGCAACGCCGCGUGCGGGAUGACGGCCUUCGGGUUGUAAACCGCUUUCGCCUGUGACGAAGCGUGAGUGACGGUAAUGGGUAAAGAAGCACCGGCUAACUACGUG
rnacentral:rRNA from 1 species